rnacentral:rRNA from 1 species
UGCGAAGGGGGCUAGCGUUGCUCGGAAUCACUGGGCGUAAAGCGCACGUAGGCGGCUUUCUAAGUCAGGGGUGAAAUCCCGGAGCUCAACUCCGGAACUGCCUUUGAUACUGGAGAGCUUGAGUCCGGGAGAGGUGAGUGGAACUGCGAGUGUAGAGGUGAAAUUCGUAGAUAUUCGCAAGAACACCAGUGGCGAAGGCGGCUCACUGGCCCGGUACUGACGCUGAGGUGCGAAAGCGUGGGGAGCAAACAGG